rnacentral:rRNA from 1 species
UACGUAGGGGGCAAGCGUUGUCCGGAUUUAUUGGGCGUAAAGAGCGUGUAGGCGGUUAGGUAGGUCCGUUGUGAAAACUCGAGGCUCAACCUCGAGACGCCGAUGGAAACCAUCUGACUAGAGUCCGGAAGAGGAGAGUGGAAUUCCUGGUGUAGCGGUGAAAUGCGCAGAUAUCAGGAAGAACACCCGUGGCUAAGGCGGCUCUCUGGGCCGUGACUGACGCUGAGGAGCGAAAGCGUGGGUAGCAAACAGG